ACCUAAUAGAUACCCGGGUAGUCCACGCCCUAAACGAUGCGAACUGGAUGUUGGGUACAUUACGGUACUCAGUGUCGAAAGCUAAACGCGUUAAGUUCGCCGCCUGGGGAGUACGGUCGCAAGACUGAAACUCAAAGGAAUUGACGGGGGCCCGCACAAGCGGUGGAGUAUGUGGUUUAAUUCGAUGCAACGCGAAGAACCUUACCUGGCCUUGACAUCUGUCGAAUCCUGCAGAGAUGCGGGAGUGCCGCAAGGAACGACAAGACAGGUGCUGCAUGGCUGUCGUCAGCUCGUGUCGUGAGACUGGUUAGG
rnacentral:rRNA from 1 species